AUUGAACGCUGGCGGCAGGCCUAACACAUGCAAGUCGAGCGGAUGAAGGGAGCUUGCUCCUUGAUUCAGCGGCGGACGGGUGAGUAAUUCCUAGGAAUCUGCCUGGUAGUUGGUUAUAACGUCCUGAAACGGGCGCUAAUACCGCAUACGUCCUGAGGGAGAAAGUGUGGGAUCUUCGGACCUUACGCUAUCAGAUGAUCCUAGGUCGGAUUAGCUAGUUGGUGGGGUAAAGGCCUACCAAGGCGACGAUCCGUAACUGGUCUGAGAGGAUGAUCAGUCACACUGGAACUGAGACACGGUCCAGACUCCUACGGGAGGCAGCAGUGGGGAAUAUUGGACAAUGGGCGAAAGCCUGAUCCAGCCAUGCCGCGUGUGUGAAGAAGGUCUUCGGAUUGUAAAGCACUUUAAGUUGGGAGGAAGGGCAGUAAGUUAAUACCUUGCUGUUUUGACGUUACCAACAGAAUAAGCACCGGCUAACUUCGUG
rnacentral:rRNA from 1 species